GGGAGGAGCCUAUGGCUCAGUGGUAGACCAUGUGUUCGGCAUGCAGAAGUUCUCUGGUUCGAUCCCGGGUCACUCCA
rnacentral:tRNA from 1 species